AUGGAGCUUUAGACUCUAUCUUGUGAGAGCGUUAAGCACCCCCGACAAAGGACUAAACCUGGUGGACCCUACCCGAAUGUCUUUGGUUGGGGCGACCGCGGGGAAUUAAAAAACCCCCACGUGGAACGGGAAAACUUUUCCUACAACUAAGAGCCACAGCUCUAGUAAACAGAACUUCUGACCAUCAAGAUCCGGCAAUGCCGAUCAACGGACCG
rnacentral:rRNA from 1 species